UCUUCGACAUCUCCCUCCCUCCUUCUUCUUCUUUUUUUUUUUUUUAAACGCCGCCGGAAAUUGAUUCCCCUGCCACCGCCGAUCGUUGCCGGGAGGUGCUGCUGCCCGUCGGAAGAUGCUGCCGCCCGUCAGGAGCUGCUGCCGUCCGCCGCUUGCUGGAGUCGCCGGCCACCGCUGCUGCCCGCCGCGUCUGACCGCCCGCCGUCGCAGGGAGGUCCAGCCGCCGGGAAGAGCUGCUGCCGGAGUCGCCGGACAGCGCAGCUGUUGUCGCCGGACAGCACAGCUGCUGUCGCGCCGUCGUCCCUCCCCGUCGAGCCGCUGCCGUCGCUUCCUCCUCCCCGAAACCACUCCGAACCCGCCCGGAAACACUCCGAAAAGACCCGCAAGGUGUAUUUCUAUUACCAAGUUACGUUCUUUGGACUUUCGAUUGCAUCCGGCGUGUUCGAUUAAUUUAAAUUGUUGGAUUGUUUGAUUUAUGUUGAUUGUUGAAUUUUCUUGUGGGAGGUUCAUGUGUGAUGAUAUGCAAUGUAUACAAUGAUCCAAAAAGAAGGGAUUAUACCUUCCAAUAGGUUGGUCUUGGUGGUGAAUGAACAAGAAUGUGUAAUGUGAGGAGUUAGAGAAGAGCAUAAAUUGAGAAGUGGUGGUGACUCUUGGUUUGUAGGCAUUGAUGGUGGAAGAUAGAAGGUGAAGGAGUUGGAGAAGAUGAAAAGUGGAAAGUCUCCAUGGGUGGAGGGGGAAGGAAUCGGCCAUAUGUGUGAAGAAGAAGACAAACAUUUUUGGGCUUGUUCCCAAUUGUUUGGAAAGAAGAAUUGGACUCCAAAAUUAAAUUAAUUGAUUUGGGCUCAUUAAGUUGCAAGCCCAAUUUGUAUAAUUAUUUAGUUGGUCAUGGCCCCAAGCCAUUUAAAAGAAACAUUUGGACUCUACUUUUAAUUUGAGAAGCCCAAGAUAAAACCGUACUUUAUUUUCUCGCAUUUUUUUCGAUAAUUAAAAAUUCACGGAGCUUUAAUUAAUUUCGUUAUCUUGUCUCCAACAAAGAUUAAAAUCGCCAAACGCAACAAUUUAUA